UAGGGAAUCUUCCACAAUGGACGAAAGUCUGAUGGAGCAACGCCGCGUGAGUGAAGAAGGUUUUCGGAUCGUAAAGCUCAGUUGUUGGUGAAGAAGGAUAGAGGUAGUAACUGGCCUUUAUUUGACGGUAAUCAACCAGAAAGUCACGGCUAACUACGUGCC
rnacentral:rRNA from 1 species